rnacentral:rRNA from 1 species
UACGUAGGGUGCGAGCGUUGUCCGGAAUCACUGGGCGUAAAGGGCGCGUAGGCGGCCUGAUAAGUAGGGGGUGAAAUCCUGUGGCUUAACUGCAGGGCUGCCUCCUAGACUGUUAGGCUCGAGCACGGUAGAGGCAGAUGGAAUUCCCGGUGUAGCGGUGGAAUGCGUAGAGAUCGGGAAGAACAUCGGUGGCGAAGGCGGUCUGCUGGGCCGUUGCUGACGCUGAGGCGCGACAGCGUGGGGAGCAAACAGG